rnacentral:rRNA from 1 species
GACGAACCGAGCGAACGUUGUUCGGAAUCACUGGGCUUAAAGGGCGCGUAGGCGGGCUGCCAAGUCCGUGGUGAAAUCCCCCGGCUCAACCGGGGAAGGGCCUCGGAUACUGGCGGCCUCGAGGGGGGUAGGGGCGUGCGGAACUGUGGGUGGAGCGGUGAAAUGCGUUGAUAUCCACAGGAACUCCGGUGGCGAAGGCGGCACGCUGGACCCCAUCUGACGCUGAGGCGCGAAAGCCAGGGGAGCGAACAGG